GGAGGUGUACCCUGUCCGGGGGAGGUGUACUCUGUCCGGGGGAGGUGUACUCUCUCCGGGGGAGGCGUACCCUCUUCGUAGGUGUCAGGUCUCCGAAAAUCACAUCCUUCGCUGACUCCCCGGUCCAGAAAACCCUGAUCGCAAAUUAGGUUACCUCCUAGAAUUUCGUUGAUGAUCGUCCUCCUUCAAACUCCCGAUGGAGAUAUCGUCCUUUUUCUGAAAAAGUAGAUGAAGGUCUCCUCCUCUUUUGUGCUCUAGCCAUCGCCCUGCCGGAAAACGCUCCUCCUCUACGUGCGAAUCUCCGUCGUGUGACAUCUCUUCCUCCUAAGAUGAAGAUCUUGAAUAGCCCCUCCUUCUAGCGCCAAUUUGUUGAUAGAGGAAUUUGGUAAUCAACAAAGAUGAGGUUCACGGCCGGAAUCAAGAUCCGUGACGGUGGUUUUGGUCGCCGGAGAGUGGUGGUUGUUUGUUUUAGGGGGUGGCUGAGAUUAGGGUUUUGAGUUGGUCUCACGUGCUCUCAACUCAUGAUCCCCCAAUGUGCCUACGUACCCCUAUAUUUAUAGGGGAUCAAGCCAUACGUAGUUCUAUUGAACCAGGAGUCCUAGUUUGAUCAGGACUAGGCCUCUUGGCGAUAAGGUCGGAGAUAGGCCGAAGGCCCAUCUUGGAGAAUCCUACUCCUGUUAGAAUUAGUCUUGAGUAUGACUACCUCAGACUCCUAAUCCAAAUAGAUCACGGAUUCAACGAUAUCUCCACUACGAGAGAUAGCAUCUACCACGACUCUUAUGGAGAAGUUAUCUGGGGGAGCCAUGACUAACCCCUCGAGGUGCAGGGAC
rnacentral:lncRNA from 1 species